ensembl:lncRNA
CUUUAAUCACACCGUUUCACAUCACAAUGUUAGCAUUGUGCUAGUUAAACAAAGAUCUGAGUUAUGGCUUCCCGUAAACUUAACUGAACCUUGGGCUGAUUCUGUAUUUCUUUCUGUAUUGUUGAAAACUGGGCUUAGAUGAUCUAAGCGCAUCAUUGGGUGGAUUAUUGCAGGCAUCUUAAGCCUUAUCUCCAUUGUGACUGUAGGAACUUUGUCUGGAUACAGAAGUCUCUACUCAAGACUCCGUGCCUCCCACAAUGGAGUCCAACUAGCAGCCGCCGUGCUUAAUUUAAAAACAAAAAGAGGAUAUGUUGGGAAGCAUAGUACAAAAUAGCCGUAAAAGGAGAAAGUCCAUGGGAAAAUGGCGAAGGGCCAGAAGUACCCAGCUUUGUACUGCGGACAGAAAAACAUCUCCUGCCUUUGGUUAUGCUUGGCGCCAAGAUUUAAUAAUAAAUAGGGAUGUUACUUGAGAAAACUUGUGGUGGGAUAAGCACAUGAGUCACUUAGACCACGCUGUCCUUGAAAUGUUUUUACUGCUUAUGUGUUAACCCCGUAUACGCUCUGCUGGCUGUAUACUUUAAGCUCUCUGUUCCUGC